AUGCACGCUGGCGGCGUGCCUAAUACAUGCAAGUCGAGCGAACAGACGAGGAGCUUGCUCCUCUGACGUUAGCGGCGGACGGGUGAGUAACACGUGGAUAACCUACCUAUAAGACUGGGAUAACUUCGGGAAACCGGAGCUAAUACCGGAUAAUAUAUUUAACCGCAUGGUUCAAUAGUGAAAGACGGUUUUGCUGUCACUUAUAGAUGGAUCCGCGCCGCAUUAGCUAGUUGGUAAGGUAACGGCUUACCAAGGCAACGAUGCGUAGCCGACCUGAGAGGGGGCGGGCCCACUGAGAAUGUGAGACCGGGCCCAAGCCCCCAGGGGGGGGAGGUGGGGGAAAUUUUGCACAGGGGGCAAAACCCUGAGGGAGAAGCCCCGUGGGUGUAAGGAGGUUUUGGGGUUCGUAAAUCUCUGUUAUUGGGAGAAAACAAAUGUGAAAGUAACGUUGCCCGUCUUGCGGGUACUUAACAGAAAGACCCGGGUAAAUACGUG
rnacentral:rRNA from 1 species